rnacentral:rRNA from 1 species
CAAUAGCGUAUACUAAAGUUGUUGCAGUUAAAAAGCUCGUAGUUGAAUUUCUGGUCGUGAAACGUGGUCCGUUCCGCAAGGAAUGUGUACUGUCGAUUCAUGUCCAUCCUCGGAGUUAGUGUGUAUUACUUUAAUCGGUCGUGCACAUGUCCUCCGUCAUUUACUGUGAGCAAAAUAGAGUGUUCAAAGCAGGCUUAUGCCGUUGAAUAUAUUAGCAUGGAAUAAUAAUCUAGGACUUCGGUUCUAUUUUGUUGGUUUCUUAGUACUGAAGUAAUGAUUGAUAGGGAUAGUUGGGGGUGGCUAGUAUUGACCGGCCAGAGGUGAAAUUCUUGGAUUCGGUCAAGACUAACUUAUGCGAAAGACAUUCACCAAGGAUGUCUUCUUUAAUCAAGAACGAAAGUUAGGGGGAGUCGAAGAUGAUCAGAUACCAU